rnacentral:rRNA from 4 species
AAUCCAUAGGUUAAUGAGGCGAACCGGGGGAACUGAAACAUCUAAGUACCCCGAGGAAAAGAAAUCAACCGAGAUUCCCCCAGUAGCGGCGAGCGAACGGGGAGGAGCCCAGAGCCUGAAUCAGCAUGUGUGUUAGUGGAAGCGUCUGGAAAGGCGCGCGAUACAGGGUGACAGCCCCGUACACAAAAGCGCAUGUGCUGUGAGCUCGAUGAGUAGGGCGGGACACGUGGUAUCCUGUCUGAAUAUGGGGGGACCAUCCUCCAAGGCUAAAUACUCCUGACUGACCGAUAGUGAACCAGUACCGUGAGGGAAAGGCGAAAAGAACCCCGGCGAGGGGAGUGAAAAAGAACCUGAAACCGUGUACGUACA